AAAAAUAUAUAAAGUUUUCUUGAUAUUGUAAAUAUAGAAGAUAGGCGGCGCUGGAGCAAGAGAAAUCCCAGCUUCUUCACGAGAGCGAUAUGAUCAAAUACAAAAUCGAGAAACUGAAGAGAUCAAUUGAGGGAUUUUUGGAGGAAAAAUCCGAAUUGCUGAAGAAAGAAGCAGAAAGUGGUUUGUUUUGGUCUAUAAAAUGCAUAUUGAAAUUUUGGCUACCGGAUGAUAUUUGUU
rnacentral:lncRNA from 1 species